rnacentral:tRNA from 1 species
GGACGUGCCGGAGUGGUUAUCGGGCAUGACUAGAAAUCAUGUGGGCUUCACCCGCGCAGGUUCGAAUUCUGCAUAGUUCA